rnacentral:lncRNA from 1 species
UGAUAUCCUAUCCGCGAAAGAAAAGAAAAACAAACGGGACAGUACAAUUUAUAACAUCAAAGCUCGUCUAUCCAGGUAAAUAAAACUCGUCUGUCCAGGUAAAAGCAUCAAACAGUUAAGUUUUUUUGCAUAGCAUAUUUUGUUUUAAUCACGCCUCAGCAUUUGGGAAACUUCAUUGUUAUACAUGAAUAAUCUGACUUCAGCUAUAGCUGUGUACAAGUGAAAUCGCCACCUGAUCAAAUCGGCACCCAUAGUAAAAGUCCAAUCGGCACUCAUUUAAAAGUUAAUUCGGUAUCCAAUAUGUAUAUAAUAAAUAUACAAAUCUUCAAGCUUGUUUUUCAAGUGACUACUGGGAAAAAUGAUGUAUAACAUGGGUGCUGAAAUGACAACACCUAGUGCCAAUUAAACCAGGUGUCGAUUUGACCAGAUGCUAAUUUAACCAAGUGCUGAUUUAACUAGUAUUAAGCUAGCUGAAGUCAAAUAGUCAUCGGAAAGUAUCAGGCUAUUGUAAGAUCUUAAUUUAAAAGAGAGACGGGAGAGGAGAGAACCAAUUAUGGACAUUUAAAGCCACAGUCGAAGAAAAGUUGACAAUGAAUCCAUGACAUUGACAAAUCGCUACACAUCAAGUCGCCCUACUUUUUUUGACCAAAUCGCCCCAAUUUCAGAAAAAUCACCCCACUUUGCAGUGAUGUCCUUAAAAGCCGGCUAUUUUUGCAGGAGUAAAAAAAAAUAAUAAAGAUAAAAAGAUAGUCAGGUUAAUAUUAAAAAAUAAUUGCUCAAUGUAUCAGCUUCCCACAUGAUUAAAGUCUCAAUAAACAAGGAUGUAAAUCAGUGUUUACCUUUGACAAAAUAUAGUUCAUGUAAAUGCAGUCCACUGAUUGGUCGUCUAUUUAAAGUCGGAAAGUAUUGUAUGUUUGCAAGGAUAAAAAGAGAGAUGUUCCGAUGGACAUUACGACCCUGUUCGGUUUUGGCGUCUAGAGAAGGAAUAAGCCAAAGAUGACAAUAGCAUGUUAUGAAAAUACAUCAGUCAAAUAAAAGAAAGUAUAAUAUAUAAUGUUGUCAAAAAUCUGGAAAUCACCACCUUUUGUAGUUCACAUUUCAAAGCCCACAACCACAUGGUGUCCAGAGAAUGAAGGUCAAUAACGAAAGUAGAAUAUUGUCAACCACAAAUAAUUUUUAAAAAUAUCUUUAGUUCAAAAGGAUUUUAGUUUACUGCUUACUGGACAGUUAAUCAAAUAAGAAAAAAAUAAAAGGACAUAGCUUGACAACAUGUUUCAAAUACGUGUACAAGUCUUAUGAGAACAAAGGGGGUCAUUUGUCACUAAGUACGUACGCAAAAUAAAUCGUCCAAGAUAUUUGAUAAAUUCGAUUAUUAUUGAAAUAAAAUUUUUUUAACCUAUUAUUUACCUAUAUUCAAGAACAGACUUCCUUAGUUGUCUUACAAAAGAGCACCUUCCCAACCAAAAAAAAUCAAUAUAGAUUAACCUUGCCAGGACUGCGGAUUACCAUUUUUUAUUUUUUUUUUCAAAUGUGAUUGAAGUCAACAACAAAAAUAAGACAAAAUUUACAUUUUCCCAAGCAUCUAAAUCACUCCCAGGUAUGCUCAGAAUGCAGGAUUUUUAGUCUAAAUUUCAAAUCUUUUUGGGGAGAGCAUACGAUAUUAUAAAAUAUAGCAACUCUGUAACAGUUUUAACUUUGAAAUCGAAGCUCCAGCUGACUACUAGUCAGGGAAUAUUGUUUUUAAUUUAGUAUAAAAAACAAAACCAACACGGGGUCCUUUAGAAAAUUACUUUAACUAGCAUAUAUAUAUGUAGCAUGUUAGUUUAAGCAAUUUAUCUAAUACUGGUUUCAUCUAACAAAUUUACCCUGUAGUCAAAAUAGUUGUCUAUAAAAAAUAUGCAUUAUGAUAUGAUAUUAUAUUUAAUUUAAAAAGGGAAUAAAAAUUGGUAAAAGCAAUAAAUCAACAGAAAAAAAUUAUUUGAACAAGUGUGCUUUGCACAGUUGUGAGAUUUGAUGAUGCUUCAAUUUCUGAAUAUUUAAAAAAUGCUACAAAUAUCAUGAAUUUCUUUAUCUCAGGGUCAUUUAAGAAUUUUGGUAAAGAAAUACAUUUUGAAACAUGGGAAGGACUUCAUACACUGAUUUAACAUAUUCCUCUCUGAUCUGUGUUUUUACAUUGUCAAGCUAAGGCAGCAACCAUUUGAUUUUCUGGGGGGGGGGGGGGGGGGGGGGGCUAUGGUUUUUUUUGGAAAAAAAAGUUUGUUUCCAGAUUUUGGAGAAAAAAAUUAUUUGUUUUUGAUUCUGAGAAAAAAAAUUGUUUGUUUCACCCUCAGCUGCCACUAUAUGUAAUGCUAAAAUUGAAAGAAAAAAAUUGUUUUCGACUUGUCGCAAAAAAAAUAGAUUGUUUUUCGCCGCAGUCGAGAAAAAAAGUUUGCACAGAAAAAAAAACCAUAGCCCCCCCCAGAAAAUCAAAUGGUUGCUGCCUAACAUCUGGUUUGAGAGAAACAUGUUUUUAUACCUAGAGGUAUAGGGGAAGGGUUGAGAUCUCAUAAACAUGUUUAACUCCUCCCAAAUUGUGCACCUGUCCCAAGUGAGGAGCCUCUGGCCUUUGUAAGCCUUGUAUGAAUUUUGGGGAAAGACUACUUCAAGCCGUCAAUUUCCUAUGUGGUUGGCCAGAGUUCCAAGCCCUCAUGUCAAUCAUUUUGUUUUAAUAGUUUGGAAACCCCUCAAAAUAUCAUACUGAAAUUGAUAAGAAGGAGAACAGAUUGACUUUAAACAUUUUUUUUAACACAUUUCCCUUCUGUUUCUCGUGAAAUUAUCGUAUAUAUAUUGAGCUUUCCCUUACACUAUAUAUAUUACGUUUCUUUUACAACCCAGAAAAAUCAGUAUUACGAAAUUUUCUAAAUAUAUCUAACCUAGCUAUAUAUACAUGUAUAGUGACAUCAUUGUUGGAAUGCCACACUACACUGGGAUAUAUCCUUUACUCAUUAUAAAAAUCAUUCACAGUAUUUGUAUACUAAUUUUAAAUCGGUAUUUGUUUAAUUUAAACCUAAUGAUGUUUGCUGUAGUGUAGAUGAUUCACACACCAACAUGCAAUGCUUUAAUCUGAGGCUAUAAUUUGUAGGUCAACUUUCGCGGUAAACAAUGUCAAUGAGGAUACAUUUGUACAUGAGAUUGGGGAGAGAAACAGCAGUUUUCAUUCUUUCUGUAAAGUUCUGUUUUGAUAAUCUUCCUCCAAUACAGGAGCACCUCAAUUGAUGAGUAAUUAUCCACUAAUAUAAAAGAAAAUGUAUCUGAACACUUAAAAUGUGACAUUUAGUAUCUGAUAAGUAGUCUUCUAUUAAAACAAAAUUUUGUGUACCAACAUAAUUAUGGUAAUGGUUAAAAAUAAAAAAAAUUAAAAUGUUGUUUUUUGUAGUUUAUACCUAUUGAGAUUGGGGAGAGCAACUGCAGUUUUCAUUCUUUCUGUAAAAUUAUGUUUUUAGAAUCUUUCUCCAAUUUAGGAGCACCUCAAUUGAUGAGUAAUUAUCAACUAAAAUGAAAGUAAAUGUAUCUGAACACUAAAAAUGUGACAUUAAGUAUAUGAUAAGUAGUCUUCCAUUAAAACAAAAUUGUGUGUACCAACAUAAUUAUGGAAAUGGUAAUUUUUUUUUCAUUAUUUUUUAAAUGUUGCUUUUUGUAGUUUAAACCUAUUUAUUCAUGAAAUUUACAAAUAUAUCAAAAUGUAGGAUCUGAAACAAGCUUCACACAGCUUAUAUCAAUCAUGUGGUUUUUAUAAUACAUGUAUCCCUGUGAUGAGAGUUGUAACUGGAAACUUUAUCAAUGGAAAAUUAAAACUGAAUAGAUUUUUCAGUCCUCACUUUCUUGAGAAAAAAAUUAAAAACUCUUGAGAGUACUGUUACAAAAAAUAGAGAAUGUUCCUAGCCUGCCCUUCAACGGUACACAAUUAAAAUUCUAAAAUAUAUUGUAGUAGUUGUUAAAUUCAAUUGAAUUUUAGACAAUGAACUCCCAACUUUAAUCAAAUGUUUUGAUUUAGAAGGUGCAGAUCUCAUUGGUCCAAAUUGACGCCAUGAUGAAUUCUUGACUAAGGAAAUGAAUUAACAAUAAACAACAAUGAGUUUCAUUAUUGUCAAACUUUCUACGUGUUCUAGCUGUUCUUUUGCUCAUUCUUUGUACGUUGAUUAUCAAAAGAUACCCCCCAAAAAUAGAAACAAUGGCCGUCUUUUCCCUCAGAGCUCUUCAGCUCUUUGAUUAAUUUUAGUUUCUUGUGUAUAAUUCAGAGUUUAGUAUGACGUCCAUUAUCACUGUACUAGUAUACAUAUUUUUUAAGGGGCCAGCUAAAGGACGCCUCCGGGUGCUCGAGUUUCUUGCUACAUUGAAGACCCAUUGUUUACCUUCGGCUGUUGUCUGCUCUAUGGUCGGGUUGUUGUCGCUUUGACACAUUCCCCAUUUCCUUUCUCAAUUUUAUUUUAAAAACAAAACUAAAAUUUAUAAAUCUGAAACCACUGUCUUCAGCAGGAACUGAACAAGUUAGAUACUGUUGAAAUCUUUACACCCAUUCUCGGUAGAACUAAUCUGUGAAUCUCUGUAUCCAGCAGGUACAGAACAGGUCUGUCAAUAAUUUUCUGAAUCCACCAUUUUACCCCCUUUCCGUAGGAGAAACAGACCCAGUCAAUGUUUCUGAAUCUAUACAGACUCUGUAAUUUGAAUGGAACCAGUUAAUUAUUCUUUGAAACUGUACACUGCAUAAGAAGGAUUACUUAUAUCCUUUCUCUGUCUGAAGCAGAACCAGUCAGUAUUUUCAAAAUCUAUAAUCUAUAUAUAUUUUGUACUAGUAAUAUCAAAAUAACAAGGUCCAAUUUGUUAGCCGGUGUCAUAUGGUAUUUUGAACCCCCUAAAAAGUGAACCCGGGGUCAAAAUACCAUGCGGUAAAAUGACCCCGGGGUCAUUAACCGCAUGGUAUUUUGACCCCGGGGUCAUUUUUCACAUAUGGUAUUUUGAACCCCCGGUAUUUUGAAACCCCCUGUUUUUGAUAAAUAGUAUUGCAGAUAAUCUAAUUUCAAUUUAUUGGCUAUCAUUUUUUUAAUUUGUGGUUUAAGAAGGGGGUUUCAAUAUACCGCAGGGGGUCAAAAUACCAUGGCUAAGCAAAUUUUCAAAUAUCUUUUCCAGUUUAUUAAAUACAUACAAACUACUUAUUGGAGUAUUAUAACUAUGUUAAAGGAGUUAGAAUAGCUUGAAUUUUUUGAAAUUCAAGGUCUAUAGUAGGGGGUUCAAUAUACGCAGGGGGUUCAAAUACCACGGCUAAGUAAAAUUUUUCAAAAUAUCUUUUCCAGUAUAUAAAUCUAUACAAACUACUUAUUGGAGUAUUAUAAUAUGUUAUGGAGUUAGAAUAGCUUGAAAUUUUUGAAAUUCAAGGUCUAUAGUAGGGGGCAAUCAAUAUACCGCAGGGGGGUCAAAAUACCAUGGCUAAGUAAAAUUUUCAAAAUAUCUUUUCCAGUAUAUUAAAUACAUACAAACUACUUAUUGGAGUAUUAUAACUAUGUAAUGAAGUUAGAAUAGCUUGAAUUUUUGAAAUUCAAGGUCUAUUGUAGGGGGUUCAAUAUACCGCAGGGGGGUCAAAAUACCAUGGCUAAGUAAAAUUUUCAAAAAUAUCUUUUCCAGUUUUUAAAUACAUACAAACUACUUUUGGAGUAUUAUAACUAUGUUAUGGAGUUAGAAUAGCUUGAAUUUUUGAAAUUCAAGGUCUAUAGUAGGGGGUUCAAUAUACUCGCAGGGGGGUCAAAAUACCAUGGCUAAGUAAAAUUUUCAAAAUAUCUUUUCCAGUAUAUCAAAUACUAUACAAACUACUUAUUGGAGUAUUAUAACUAUGUUAAUGGAGUUAGAAUAGCUUGAAUUUUUGAAAUUCAAGGUCUAUAGUAGGGGGUUCAAUAUACCGCAGGGGGGUCAAAAUACCAUGGCUAAGUAAAAUUUUCAAAAUAUCUUUUCCAGUAUAUUAAAUACAUACAAACUACUUAUUGGAGUAUUAUAACUAUGUAAUGAGUUAGAAUAGCUUGAAUUUUUGAAAUUCAAGGUCUAUGUAGGGGUUCAAUAUACCGCAGGGGGGGUCAAAAUACCAUGGCUAAGUAAAAUUUUCAAAAUAUCUUUUCCAGUUUAUUAAAUACAUACAAACUACUUAUUGGAGUAUUAUAACUAUGUUAUGGAGUUAGAAUAGCUUGAAUUUUUGAAAUUCAAGGUCUAUAGUAGGGGGUUCAAUAUAUCGCAGGGGGGUCAAAAUACCAUGGCUAAGUAAAAUUUUCGAAACAUCUUUUCCAGUAUAUCAAAUACUAUACAAACUACUUAUUGGAGUAUUAUAACUAUGUUAUGGAGUUAGAAUAGCUUGAAUUUUUGAAAUUCAAGGUCUAUAGUAGGGGGUUCAAUAUACCGCAGGGGGGUCAAAAUACCAUGGCUAAGUAAAAUUUUCAAAACAUCUUUUCCAGUAUAUCAAAUCUAUACAAACUACUUAUUGGAGUAUUAUAACUAUGUUAUGGAGUUAGAAUAGCUUGAAUUUUUGAAAUUCAAGGUCUAUAGUAGGGGGUUCAAUAUACCGCAGGGGGUCAAAAUACCAUGGCUAAGUAAAAUUUUCAAAACAUCUUUUCCAGUAUAUCAAAUCUAUACAAACUACUUAUUGGAGUAUUAUAACUAUGUAUCGAAGUUAGAAUAGCUUGAAUUUUUCAAAUUCAAUGUCUAUUGUAGGGGGUUCAAUAUACCGCAGGGGGGUCAAAAUACCAUGGCUAAGUAAAAUUUUCAAAAUAUCUUUUCCAAUUUAUUAAAUACAUACAAACUACUUAUUGGAGUAUUAUAACUAUGUUAAGGAGUUAGAAUAGCUUGAAUUUUUGAAAUUCAAGGUCUAUAGUAGGGGGUUCAAUAUACCGCAGGGGGGUCAAAAUACCAUGGCUAAGAAAAAAUUUUCAAAACAUCUUUUUCCAGUAUAUCAAAUCUAUAAAAACUACUUAUUGGAGUAUUAUAACUAUGUUAUGGAGUUAGAAUAGCUUGAAUUUUUGAAAUUCAAGGUCUAUAGUAGGGGGUUCAAUAUACCGCAGGGGGGUCAAAAUACCAUGGCUAAGUAAAAUUUUCAAAAUAUCUUUUCCAGUAUAUCAAAUCUAUACAAACUACUUAUUGGAGUAUUAUAACUAUGUUAUGGAGUUAGAAUAGCUUGAAUUUUUGAAAUUCAAGGUCUAUAGUAGGGGGUUCAAUAUACCGCAGGGGGGUCAAAAUACCAUGGCUAAGUAAAAUUUUCAAAAACAUCUUUUCCAGUAUAUCAAAUCUAUACAAACUACUUAUUGGAGUAUUAUAACUAUGUAAUGAAGUUAGAAUAGCUUGAAUUUUUGAAAUUCAAUGUCUAUUGUAGGGGGUUCAAUAUACCGCAGGGGGGUCAAAAUACCAUGGCUAAGUAAAAUUUUCAAAACAUCUUUUCCAGUAUAUCAAAUCUAUAGAAACUACUUAUUGGAGUAUUAUAACUAUGUUAUGGAGUUAGAAUAGCUUGAAUUUUUGAAAUUCAAGGUCUAUAGUAGGGGGUUCAAUAUACCGCAGGGGGGUCAAAAUACCAUGGCUAAGUAAAAUUUUCAAAACAUCUUUUCCAGUAUAUCAAAUCUAUAGAAACUACUUUUUGGAGUAUUAUAACUAUGUUAUGGAGUUAGAAUAGCUUGAAUUUUUGAAAUUCAAGGUCUAUAGUAGGGGGUUCAAUAUACCGCAGGGGGGUCAAAAUACCAUGGCUAAGUAAAAUUUUCAAAAUAUCUUUUCCAGUAUAUCAAAUCUAUACAAACUACUUAUUGGAGUAUUAUAACUAUGUAAUGAAGUUAGAAUAGCUUGAAUUUUUGAAAUUCAAGGUCUAUAGUAGGGGGUUCAAUAUACCGCAGGGGGGUCAAAAUACCAUGGCUAUUGAACCCCCUACUCUAGGCCUUUAAUUUCAGAAAUUCUGGCAAUUUGAACUUUUUUAUGUAGUUAGAAUACACCAAUAAGUAGUUUGUAUGUAUUAAACUUGCUGGAAAAGAUAUUUUGAAAAUUUUACUUUGCCAUGGUAUUUUGACCCCCCUGCGGUAUAUUGAACCCCCUACUCUAGGCUUUUAAUUUCAGAAAUUCUGGCAAUUUGAACUCUUUUAUGUAGUAAGAAUACACCAAUAAGUAGUUUGUAUGUAUUAAACUUGCUGGAAAAGAUAUUUUGAAAAUUUUACUUUGCCAUGGUAUUUUGACCCCCCUGCGGUAUAUUGAACCCCCUACUCUAGGCCUUUAAUUUCAGAAAUUCUGGCAAUUUGAACUCUUUUAUGUAGUAAGAAUACACCACUAAGUAGUUUGUAUUUAUUAAACUUGCUGGAAAAGAUAUUUUUAAAAUUCUACUUUACCAUGGUAUUUUGACCCCCUCCCCCUUUUUUACCAUGGAAAAUCAAAACUACCCUUAUAUAUAUAUAUAUAUAUACAUAUGUUAUAAUUACAAAUAAUUAAAGCAUUCAAGCUACAUAUGGUCUAGUUAUAAUGUGUCAAUAAGUAUUUUGAAUGACAUUUUGUUGGUAAAGAUUUCAGAGCACUUAUACCAAGCAAAGAUAUUUCUUUUAAUUUUAAGCAUGGAAAAUGUACCUCCCCUUCUUGUAUGAAUGAUUUUUUAAUCUAUGAUAAGCUAUAGAAUAAUGUAAAAUGUUCUAAUAUUCAUCGAGGAUGAAAAAAACAGGGGGGUUCAAUUUACCAUGGGGGUUCAAUUUUCCAUACAGGGGGGGUUCAAUUUACCAUGGGGGGGGUUCAAUUUACCAUAGCGGUAUUUUGACCCCGGGGUCAAUUUACCAUGGGGUUCAAAAUACCAUAUGACACCGGCAUGACAAAUCAAAGAAUUCUACUUUAUAUUUAACUAAUACACAACAAUGGUGUAGAAUAAAAAGUACACAAUGACAAGCCCUUUUGUUUUCCACAUACCGCUUAUUUAUAAUCAUAAUCACAAGCUGCGAGUCAAAUCCAAUACAGAUACCAAUAGUAUAAAAUGCUAAAAUGAGAUAUAGGCACUUUUAUUCACUUCAGUCACAGAUCAGCGAUGUUGCAAGUGUGUUCUAGUAUAAGCAAUGAUUUAAACCAAGGAAAUUCAAUGACUAUUUUAAAAGGAAAAUACUUCAAAGGCACUUGUAUAACCACUGUGUUAGUACAUGUAAUACCUACUGAUGGUGGUCAUUUAUAAAGAUGACAAGCUUUACUUCACCAUGUUACUAUGUUAUAUGUAUAUAAUUUAAUUUUGGAUGUAACACGUCUUUUGAUUGGCUGACGUUAUUUUGUUAUGAGCCCAUAGACAUAAUUUAGUCAUGUGACCGUGACGUCAUUAACGUUUUUUUCAAGGUUUUCUACGGUUUAAAAUGAAUUUAGAAUUAAAUUAUAAGAAAUGGCUGUAAUAUUUUUUCUGUCUAUUCGAAAUAGCAUAAAAAAUGUGGUGCACACUGUUAAAUAACCCGCUACGCGUGUUAUUCAGUGUGCACCACAUUUUUUUUAUGUUAUUUCUUCAUAGACAGAAAAAAUAUUACAGUCAUUCCUUAAAAGUACAAAAUGUUCAAUGUAUAUAUAUACUGUUCCUGAACAAACUGUUACUGAUAACACCGUUUCUUCUUUCAAUAUAACUUACUACCAUGAUGCACAAACCAUGAAAAUACAAUACAUGUGUUGAUUAAAUAGCCACAAUUGAGCUGUGUAAUUUUUCCAAAGAAUGCAACCAAUUAGUUUAUUAAUUAAUCUGAAGCCAGUUUAAUUGGAGGACUAGUCAUCUUUAAUGAAGAUCUGAUAGAAUUCUUUCUCUUUUUAGGGCAAUCCACCUGUUCACAAAGAAGUAUAGGGUGUAAAUGAAGGGCACUUUUGUUGUAUGGGUCGAAGGAAAAGUUAAGGUAGGACCAUCUAUCAACUAUUUGUAAUCAGGUGUUCCCCCUACAGCAAAUCAUUCAACUUCACCA